CGGGUGAGUAACGCGUAUCCAACCUGCCGUCUACUCUUGGACAGCCUUCUGAAAGGAAGAUUAAUACAAGAUGGCAUCAUGAGUCCGCAUGUUCACAUGAUUAAAGGUGUUCCGGUAGACGAUGGGGAUGCGUUCCAUUGGAUAGUAGGCGGGGUAACGGCCCACCUAGUCUUCGAUGGAUAGGGGUUCUGAGAGGAAGGUCCCCCACAUUGGAACUGAGACACGGUCCAA
rnacentral:rRNA from 1 species